CAUUUGCAGCCGUAUUGAGGUUGCUGUUUUUAAUUUUAAAACCGCAUUAAAAGGGAAUCAGGUGAAAGAUUGCAGAUUGCAGAUUUUAGAUUGUAACAAUCAAAAAAAUCUAAAUCGAAAAUCCAGAAUCCUGGGCUGUACCCGCAACUGUAAGCUGUCAAGCUUGUUGUUAUCUACAAAACCACUGUUCAAAAUUUUAGAAUUGAGAUUUCAGAUUUUAUCAAAUCGGAAAUCAAGAAUGGGAAGGUAAACAACAAGACGCAAGCCAGGAGACCUGCCUAUUACAUCGAGUAUCA
rnacentral:ncRNA from 2 species